GGAUUCCCUGCUCCUCACUUCCCUUCACCAGUUGCUCUCUCCUGCUCAUCCCCCCCCACCCCCCACCCCCCGCAAUGCUGACUGCAGGUGGAAUCACAGCUCCCCGGCAGGGCGCUGGGGAGCAGAAGCCCAGAGAAUCCCUUUGUACAGAGCACAUAAUUACCUGCUAUUUAUCUUCUCGCUAAGCCUGAACUUUGGUCCACCCAGCUUCCUCAGCCGAGCCCACCUGCACUGCAUUUCUGGCAGGGUGCGGAGGACAGAAGCCACGGGGAUCUCCCUGAGCUCAUGGCUUCUGCAGAUAAUUAAUGACACAUGCAGCCUAAACCGAGGCCGGCGCCCAUCUGUGCAGCGUGGCCCAGCCAGAUCUGUGCCUCGAGGCAGGAAGCUGGCAUCAGGGGCCUCAGGUAACCCUUCCUGCUGGGGAUAGUAGUGACUGGAGGCCCUGCACUCCCCAAAGUGGGUGGACCUUGAAGUCCCUGGUGGGAGUGGAAGGACUGUCGUGCGUCUUUUCUCUUUUGUAAAGGCUUUGGCCUGUCCUAGCCAUCAUUCAAAGGGCUUCUGAUUGGCGAAACCCUGGGUGAAGGGGCGCCCCAUACUGAGCGAGGAGCAGCCAGCUAUGGAGGGAGCCCACGCGAGUCUGAUGGCUGUGUCAGGAGCAGGACGAUCAAGUGGCCCUGUGUCUGAGCCAACAAGCGCGACCACGUCUGUGGAUACACAGCCCACUGCGGAGGACCUGCCCUGUUGUUUCAGAGUUGUUUGCCUUGUCAACUACCAUCCCUUAAGCACCUACUGAGUGCUAGGCACUGGGAUACAGGAAGCAAGCAUUGUGGAAAGGACCAGAGGCGCGAACAGAGCGGUUCAUUGAGAAAUCCCUUGAGAACAAAGAUGGGUCUGUUUCUGUAGUGGUUUGGUUUCCAAUAAGAAAGCUGCAUUUGAAUAUCAGCAGGACUGUUUCCUGGUUCCCACAGUCCACGCCUUUGCCUCUGGAAACACUAAAGGUGUGACAAGAGCCCACAGACAUCUGGAGAAAUGAUUUAUUUUAGAAAGUCACCAUUUUUUCCUCCUGAGGGCUCUGAGUUUACCUAACGGUGAGCUGCUUCUCGUUGUGAUGAAGCCAUUUAGAUGUGGACGCUGUCACCACGGGAUAAAGAGCUCGUCCCAAAGUCUCUCAAAGAGCCAGCAGAUACCUCCGACGUGGAGUUGUCACCCCACUGGGGGACGUCCCUUGACAGAGCAGAGAAGCCGCUGCUGCACAUGGGUUUCCACUCGUUCAUCAGAGCGUCGGGUCGCAGGUCAGACGUCUGGGGCCAACAACGUUUAGCACUGUGGGUCAUCAGUCCCUGCGGCUGAGGCUGAAGGAAUUGAGCUGGAUCUUUUUAAUGUUUCUGGAACUUGUUUGGAGGCAAAAGACGAGAUUUUUGAAAAUGGAGGCACUUGAUGAGCAUUGCAUAACCCAGGGUAGACUGUAAGUGGAAAUGUCGUCCACUGGCUCUCCAGAUCGUGCGUCUACAAUUCGUGUUGGUCUACACAAAUGGAAGCUUCCUGCGAUUUUUGUGGAAGGCGUGGGGUAAUCCUGUGCUUGGUUUGUUUGAUGCCAGAGAAGGCCGACUGGUCUGGCCCUUGUGAAGAAGCAGAGCAGGAAGCUCUGAAGUACGGAGUGAGUGUGUGUGUGUAUGUGUGUGUGAGUGUGUCUAGGGGGCAGUGGAGUCCGGCAGCACGCGUACCUGAAAAUCCCCCUUCCCUCCCCUGUGAGCCCUGCUGCAGAGGGAGCGGACGCACACGGAACUCCCCCGGAGGACGCUCCUCAGCCCACGGUCCCUCCAUUCACCAAACCGCUCAGGUUAGAAACUGAAGAAUCACCCUUCACUCCUGUCUUUCUGGGUCCAUCCAGAAUCUGACAAUUUCAUCACAGCAUCAAAUAGAUGAGUCAGACCCAUCUACUGCCCGGUGACUGCUGAGGUCCCCUACCUGGUCUCCCAGGAUCUCCCUUAGUCCGUCCCUCGACAGCCUGGUCUCCACACUCAAUCAGUCAUUGUUAUUAAAAUUGUCAGGUCCUGUCACUCCUCUGCUCAAAACCCUCCUCGGGCCUAACACCUCAGCAGCCGGGCCCUUCUCACCUGGCUGCCGUUAGAAUCCCCAUCCCCAGGCUGUCCCCUCACUGAGUGACUCCAGGGUGCAGCCAGGCCAGGAGCCAGUACCCCGAGCUCCCGCCUGGCCCCUCUGCCUUGCAUCCUUCACUCUCCCUUUGCUCCCACACACCAGCCUCGCCCACCUCCUGUGUUGCUGCCUCAAGGCCAUUGCCUCUGCCUGGACAGGUCCCUCACCUCCUUCAGGUCUCUGGCCAACGUCACCUCCUCAGAGAGGCCAGCCCACCAUUCUCUACUAUCUGCUCCCUUCUCCUCGAGGGGCUCUCACUACGUCUCCCACCAGGCUGGGUGGCUCCUGUUUUGUUCCGGAACCCCCAGAGUCUAGAAGAGAGCAGGCACAUAGCAGGCACUCAAUUAAGUGUCUUCACUGUAGGAAGAGUGAGUAAGGAUGGUGACCCCACCUGGGCCAGCAGGACUUGUCUAUGGAGGUGACCUUCCCAGUAGAAGGGAGCUGCUGCUUAAAGGGCAAAAGCCCCGGACCUAGACCUCAGUGGGUAAGGGCUUGAUCAGGGCGACGCCUGCUACCAGCGUGAAUGUCUUCUCCUCUCUGCCUCAGUUUCUUCUUCUGUAUAAUGGGAAUAAUGGGACUUGCUCCUUAGUGUGAGUUUGAGGAUUAAACGCAGUGAUGGAAGUGAUGCUGUUGGCCUGAUUCGAGGCUGAAUAGCAUAAUUAUGGGUCAAGAGCAAGUCAGCUUCAAUCGGAAGCAUUUAAGAGUCAUCUUAUACUCUGAUGACUUGAUUUAUGUAUUGAUGAACUCUUACUAUCACCCACUAGGAAUGGCGGCCCAGAGAGGAGCCGUGCGUGGCCCGAAGGUGCACAGCCCCCCAGGCUCCGGGGCGAGAGCCGAUCUCAGGCCUCUCGCAUGGUCGGCCUAGCCAGGGCCUCGCGUCGCGAUGGUCGCCGGCGACCCCUCCCUAGGGCGGCCGAGGGCGCGGCGGGCCGCGGGGCGCCUUUGUGCGCCGCCUGAUUUCCAUUUCCCCAGAUAAACACGCGGCGGGGGCCGCGACCUCGCUGCAUAGCAAAUACCUCGGCUCCCGCCCCGCGUGGGGCCCGCGAAUGAGAUGAUUUACUCCUGUUUUGCAUAUUAAUUGAUCUAAAUGCCACCCGUUCUGGAAACAAUUAAGAGGCCCUCUGGCGCCCGGGGCCGCGCGGUGGAGGCGGCGAAGUGCCGGGCGCCCCCUCGGGGCUGCGGCCGGGCGCGCGGGGGUCGCGGGG
ensembl:lncRNA